rnacentral:lncRNA from 1 species
UAUUAUUCUUUUCUUUAAAAAAAAAACCCAUAUCAGAACCAGAGCAGAGGACUCAGAUACUCAAAGUAAUACAGGGCUGCCAGAGCUCCGGCAGGCACUGUGUGGGCUUCAGUAGCAGAGUCGUCGUGCAGGCUGCGCCCAAAAAGGUGUGUCACCUUUUCCUUUUUCACAAUAGAAACAGAGGCUUGUGUGAGGCUUCACACCAUCAACUGCUGUAAU